rnacentral:rRNA from 1 species
ACCGUCUGAACUUAAGCAUAUCACUAAGACGAGGAAAAGAAACUAACCAGGAUUGCCCUAGUAACGGCGAGUGAAGCGGCAAAAGCCCAGGCUGGAAAUCGCUGCGGCGAGUUGUACAGUGAAGACACGCUGCUCACGCAGAGUGGAGGAGUAAGUGUUCUGGAAAGAAACGCCGCAGAGGGUGAAAGCCCCGUGCCUCCUCCGCAGACGCGACAGCAGGUGUUCCUAGAGUCGGGUAGUUUGGGACUGCUGCCCUAAGUGGGAGGUAGACUUCUUCUAAGGCUAAAUACUCACAAGAGACCGAUAGCGAACAAGUACUGUGAAGGAAAGAUGAAAAGAACUUUGGAAAAAGGGUUAAAAUACUUGAAAUCGUUGAGGAGGAAGCUGUGAGGCUGGUCUCGGCAGCAGUGCAACUAAGUGCACGCACUUGGGGGAGCUGCUGCCUCAACUCGGUCUUUGCUGAAGUUCUGAGCUGCCCUGCUGUUAGUUGGGCAGGCCCAGAGCUGAGGGUGCGGGCCGAGUGACUUGCCCCACUGACCCGUCUUGAAACACGGACCAAGGAGUCUAACAUGUGUGCGAGUAGUUGGGUGGAGACCCUUCUGCGUAAGGAAACUGAGCCUUUCAGGGCCGUGUUAACGAGCUCAGCAGGCAUGUUGGGACCCGAAAGAUGGUGAACUAUGCUUGGGAAAGGCGAAGCCAGGGGAAACCUUGGUGGAGGCUUGUAGGGAUACUGACGUGCAAAUCGUUCUUCUGACCUGAGUAUAGGGGCGAAAGACUAAUCGAACCAUCUAGUAGCUGGUUCCCUCCGAAAUUUCCCUCAGGAUAGCUGGAACAAAGCAGUUUUAUCGGGUAAAGCGAAUGAUUAGAGGUUCGGGAGUUGCAACAACUUUCACCUAUUCUCAAACUUUAAAUUGGUAAGAGUGCGGAGUUACUUAAGUGAACUCUGUAUUGAAUGUUUGUUCCAAGUGGGCCAUUUUUGGUAAGCAGAACUGGCGACGAGGGUCCAACCUACGGCAGGGUUGAGGUGACAAACUGGGUGCUCAUCGGAGGAAAAGGUGUUAGUUCAUUUAGACAGUAGGACGGUGGCCAUGGAAGUCGGAACCCGCUAAGGAGUGUGUAACAACUCACCUACCGAAUGAACUAGCCCUGAAAAUGGAUGUCGCUAAGCACCUGACCGACACCUUGCUGUGCAGCUCAACGCAGCUGGACAGGUAGGAGGGCGUGAGGGUAGUUUCGAAGGCCCCGAGUGGUCGGGGCUGGAGCUGCUCUUAGUGCAGAUCUUGGUGGUAGUAGCAACUAUUCAAAUGAGAACUUUGAAGACUGAAGUGGAGAAGGGUUUCGUGAGAACAGCAAUUGGUCACGAGUGACUCGGUCCUGAGGUUUCGAAAGGGAAUGGUGUUAAGAUUCACCAAGCAGGCUUAGGGUACUGAGUGGCAACACAACUGAACUCAAAGACGUCGGGGCGGAGCGCCAGGGAGAGUUCUCUUUUCUUCUUAACAAGUCACUGCCCUGGAGGUCUUUGCGACGAGAGAGGGCUACCGACUUGGAAAAGCAGCACACCCUUUGUGCUGUCUGGUCAGCUUCCUUCGGCCCUUGAAAAUUUGAGGGAAACAUUGCUUCUAGCCUGGCCGUACCCACAACCGCAUCAGGUUCCCAAGGUUA